rnacentral:rRNA from 1 species
CCCCUAGAUGUUCUGGGCCGUACGCGCGCUACACUGAACAGUUCAACAAGUCUUAACCUUGGCCGAUAGGUCUGGGUAAUCUUUGAACGCUGUUCGUGAUUGGGAUAGACCUUUGCAAUUAUGGGUCUUCAACGAGGAAUUCCUAGUAAACGCAAGUCAUCAGCUUGCAUUGAUUACGUCCCUGCCCUUUGUACACACCGCCCGUCGCACCUACCGAUUGAAUGGUCCGGUGAAAUCUCGGGACGGCGGCUUGGUCGCUUGCGUCCGACUGCUGAAACUUGAUUAAACCAUAUCAUUUAGAGGAAGGUGAANUCGUANCA